GAUGAACGCUAGCGGCAGGCUUAAUACAUGCAAGUCGUGGGGCAGCAUGAGUAGCAAUACUUGAUGGCGACCGGCAAACGGGUGAGGAACACGUACACAACCUUCCUUCAAGCGGGGAAUAGCCCAGAGAAAUUUGGAUUAAUACCCCAUAAUAUAUUUGAUAAGGCAUCUUAUUAAAUAUUAAAGCUUCGGCACUUGAUGAUGGGUGUGCGGCUGAUUAGAUAGUUGGCGGGGUAACGGCCCACCAAGUCUACGAUCAGUAGCUGAUGUGAGAGCAUGAUCAGCCACACGGGCACUGAGACACGGGCCCGACUCCUACGGGAGGCAGCAGUAAGGAAUAUUGGACAAUGGACGAAAGUCUGAUCCAGCCAUGCCGCGUGAAGGAUUAAGGUCCUCUGGAUUGUAAACUUCUUUAUAUGGGACGAAAAAGGGCAUUCUUGUUCACUUGACGGUACCAUAUGAAUAAGCACCGGCUAACUCCGUGCCAG
rnacentral:rRNA from 1 species